AGUAAAAGUCGUAACAAGGUUUCCGUAGGUGAACCUGCGGAAGGAUCAUUAACAAAUGCGAAGCGGGGGAGUUGUCGCUGGCCUUUCGGGGCAUGUGCACGCUCCUUCGAAUCCAAAUCUAAACCCGUGAACCAACGGCGGAAGGGUCUUUGAGGCGCUGCGGUGCCGACGGGGCCUUUCCUGCUCAUCACACACCCUUCGUAUGUUUUAGAAUGUCGUCUGCGUAUUUUCGCAACAUAUACAACUUUCAGCAACGGAUCUCUUGGCUCUCGCAUCGAUGAAGAACGCAGCGAAAUGCGAUAAGUAAUGUGAAUUGCAGAAUUCAGUGAAUCAUCGAAUCUUUGAACGCACCUUGCGCGCUCCGGUAUUCCGGAGCGCACGCCCGUUUGAGUGUCGCGGUAUCAUCAAACUCCAACGUUUUUUUGACAUUGGUGGCUUGGAUAUGGAGGUGUUGCUGGGCCCUUUGGGGUUCGGCUCCUCUCAAAUGCAUUAGCUGGGACGUUCGGUCCGAAGGCUCUGACGUGAUAGUGAUGUUGCGUCGUAGUUCGAGGCCUCUCUUGUCGCCGCUUUCCACCGUCCUUCGGGACAGAAUACUCUUGACCCCUUGACUCAAAUCGGGCGGGACUACCCGCUG
rnacentral:rRNA from 1 species